GGAAUUGUUCACAAUGGGCGCAAGCCUGAUGACGCAACGCCGCGUGGGGGAUGAAGGUCUUCGGAUCGUAAACCCUUGUCGAACGGAAAGAAUGACUCGCGCACUAACACUGCGCGGGACUGACGGUACCGUUAAAGGAAGCCACGGCUAACUCUGUGCCAGCAGCCGCGGUAAUACAGAGGUGGCAAGCGUUGUUCGGAAUUACUGGGCGUAAAGGGCGCGUAGGCGGCCAUCUAAGUCAGACGUGAAAUCCCCCGGCUUAACCUGGGAACUGCGUCUGAUACUGGAAGGCUAGAAUUUGGGAGAGGGAUGUGGAAUUCCAGGUGUAGCGGUGAAAUGCGUAGAUAUCUGGAGGAACACCGGUGGCGAAGGCGGCAUCCUGGACCAACAUUGACGCUGAGGCGCGAAAGCUAGGGGAGCAAACGGGA
rnacentral:misc_RNA from 1 species